AUUGAACGCUGGCGGAAUGCUUUACACAUGCAAGUCGAACGGCAGCACGGACUUCGGUCUGGUGGCGAGUGGCGAACGGGUGAGUAAUGUAUCGGAACGUGCCCAGUCGUGGGGGAUAACGUAGUGAAAAUUACGCUAAUACCGCAUACGAUCUAUGGAUGAAAGCGGGGGAUCGCAAGACCUCGCGCGAUUGGAGCGGCCGAUAUCAGAUUAGGUAGUUGGUGGGGUAAAGGCCCACCAAGCCAACGAUCUGUAGCUGGUCUGAGCGGACGACCAGCCACACGGGAACUGAGACACGGUCCAGACUCCUACGGGUGGCAGCAGUGGGGAAUUUUGGACAAUGGGCGAAAGCCUGAUCCAGCCAUUCCGCGUGCAGGAUGAAGGCCCUCGGGUUGUAAACUGCUUUUGUACAGAACGAAAAGGUUUCUACUAAUACUAGGAGCUCAUGACGGUACUGUAAGAAUAAGCACCGGCUAACUACGUGCCAGCAGCCGCCGUAA
rnacentral:rRNA from 1 species